UGGGGAAUAUUGCACAAUGGGGGAAACCCUGAUGCAGCGACGCCGCGUGAGUGAGGAAGUAUUUCGGUAUGUAAAGCUCUAUCAGCAGGGAAGAAAUUGACGGUACCUGAUUAAGAAGCCCCGGCUAACUACGUGCCAGCAGCCGCGGUAAUACGUAGGGGGCAAGCGUUAUCCGGAUUCACUGGGUGUAAAGGGAGCGCAGGCGGUGCGGCAAGUCUGAUGUGAAAAUCCGGGGCCCAACCCCGGAACUGCAUUGGAAACUGUCGUACUUGAGUGUCGGAGGGGUAAGUGGAAUUCCUAGUGUAGCGGUGAAAUGCGUAGAUAUUAGGAGGAACACCAGUGGCGAAGGCGGCUUACUGGACGACAACUGACGCUGAGGCUCGAAAGCGUGGGGAGCAAACAGG
rnacentral:rRNA from 1 species